rnacentral:rRNA from 1 species
UGGGGAAUUUUGGACAAUGGGCGAAAGCCUGAUCCAGCAAUGCCGCGUGUGUGAAGAAGGCCUUCGGGUUGUAAAGCACUUUUGUCCGGAAAGAAAUCCUUGGCUCUAAUACAGUCGGGGGAUGACGGUACCGGAAGAAUAAGCACCGGCUAACUACGUGCCAGCAGCCGCGGUAAUACGUAGGGUGCAAGCGUUAAUCGGAAUUACUGGGCGUAAAGCGUGCGCAGGCGGUUUGCUAAGACCGAUGUGAAAUCCCCGGGCUCAACCUGGGAACUGCAUUGGUGACUGGCAGGCUAGAGUAUGGCAGAGGGGGGUAGAAUUCCACGUGUAGCAGUGAAAUGCGUAGAGAUGUGGAGGAAUACCGAUGGCGAAGGCAGCCCCCUGGGCCAAUACUGACGCUCAUGCACGAAAGCGUGGGGAGCAAACAGGAUUAGAUACCCUGGUAGUCCACGCCCUAAACGAUGUCAACUAGUUGUUGGGGAUUCAUUUCCUUAGUAACGUAGCUAACGCGUG